rnacentral:rRNA from 1 species
GUGCCAGCCGCCGCGGUAAUACGUAGGGGGCAAGCGUUGUCCGGAUUUACUGGGCGUAAAGCGCGUGUAGGCGGAAGCGCAAGUCCGGUGUGAAAGCCCCCGGCUCAACCGGGGAAGGUCGCUGGAAACUGCGCUUCUUGAGGACGACAGAGGGAAGUGGAAUUGCUGGUGUAGCGGUGAAAUGCGUAGAGAUCAGCAGGAACACCCGUGGCGAAGGCGGCUUCCUGGGUCGUGCCUGACGCUGAGACGCGAAAGCGUGGGGAGCGAACGGGAUUAGAUACCCCCGUAGUCC